rnacentral:rRNA from 1 species
GACGAACGCUGGCGGCGUGCUUAACACAUGCAAGUCGAACGGAAAGGCCCUGCUUUUGUGGGGUGCUCGAGUGGCGAACGGGUGAGUAACACGUGAGUAACCUGCCCUUGACUUUGGGAUAACUUCAGGAAACUGGGGCUAAUACCGGAUAGGAGCUCCUGCUGCAUGGUGGGGGUUGGAAAGUUUCGGCGGUUGGGGAUGGACUCGCGGCUUAUCAGCUUGUUGGUGGGGUAGUGGCUUACCAAGGCUUUGACGGGUAGCCGGCCUGAGAGGGUGACCGGCAACAUUGGGACAGAGAUACGGCCCAGACUCCGACGGGAGGCAGCAGUGGGGAAUAUUGCAGAAUGGGCGGAAGCCUGAUGCAGCAACGCCGCGUGCGGGAUGAGGGCCUUCGGGUUGUAAACCGCUUUCGCCGGUGACGAAGCGUGAGGGAGGGUAAUGGGUAAAGAAGCAACGGCUAACUACGUG